CAGUAGCCGCGGGAAUACAGAGGGUGCGAGCGUUAAUCGGAUUUACUGGGCGUAAAGCGUGCGUAGGCGGCUUUUUAAGUAGGAUGUGAAAUCCCUGAGCUUAACUUAGGAAUUGCAUUCGAUACUGGGAAGCUAGAGUAUGGGAGAGGAUGGUAGAAUUCCAGGUGUAGCGGUGAAAUGCGUAGAGAUCUGGAGGAAUACCGAUGGCGAAGGCAGCCAUCUGGCCUAAUACUGACGCUGAGGUACGAAAGCAUGGGGAGCAAACAGGAUUAGAUACCCGUGUAGUCCCUGUCUCUUAUAC
rnacentral:rRNA from 1 species